rnacentral:rRNA from 1 species
GUAGGACCUGCUCAAUGGAUUCCUAGAAUAGCCGCAGUCAACUGUGCUAAGGUAGCAUAAUCAUUUGCAUUUUUAAUUUAAGCUAGAAUGAAGGGUUAAACGACAAAAGAAACUGUCUCCAAAUACUAAAACAAAAUUAAAUUUCUCAGUAAAAAUGCCAGAAUAAAAGAGAGGGACGACAAGACCCUAAAAGCUUUAUAUAAAUAAUAUAUUUUACUGGGGCGGUAAAAAAACAAUUUAACAAAUUAAUUCUACGAUCCACAAAGUGUGAAAAUUAGACAAAGUUACUUUAGGGAUAACAGCAUAAUUUUAUUUUAAAGUUCUCAUAUAAAAAAAAGUUUAUGACCUCGAUGUUGAAUUAUUAAAUCUAUAGGGGGCAGAAAUUCUAUAAGAAAGUCUGUUCGACUUUUAAUAUAAUCCAUGAUCUGAGUUCAAACCGGAGA